rnacentral:rRNA from 1 species
AGCGGAGGAAAAGAAACCAACCGGGAUUGCCUUAGUAACGGCGAGUGAAGCGGCAAAAGCUCAAAUUUGAAAUCUGGUACCUUCGGUGCCCGAGUUGUAAUUUGGAGAGGGCAACUUUGGGGCCGUUCCUUGUCUAUGUUCCUUGGAACAGGACGUCAUAGAGGGUGAGAAUCCCGUGUGGCGAGGAGUGCGGUUCUUUGUAAAGUGCCUUCGAAGAGUCGAGUUGUUUGGGAAUGCAGCUCUAAGUGGGUGGUAAAUUCCAUCUAAAGCUAAAUAUUGGCGAGAGACCGAUAGCGAACAAGUACAGUGAUGGAAAGAUGAAAAGAACUUUGAAAAGAGAGUGAAAAAGUACGUGAAAUUGUUGAAAGGGAAGGGCAUUUGAUCAGACAUGGUGUUUUGUGCCCUCUGCUCCUUGUGGGUAGGGGAAUCUCGCAUUUCACUGGGCCAGCAUCAGUUUUGGUGGCAGGAUAAAUCCAUAGGAAUGUAGCUUGCCUCGGUAAGUAUUAUAGCCUGUG